CCUACGGGUGGCAGCAGUGGGGAAUAUUGCACAAUGGGGGAAACCCUGAUGCAGCGACGCCGCUUCAGUGAAGAAGUAUUUCGGUAUGUAAAGCUCUAUCAGCAGGGACGAAAAUGACGGUACCUGAGUAAGAAGCCCCGGCUAACUACGUGCCAGCAGCCGCGGUAAUACGUAGGGGGCAAGCGUUAUCCGGAUUUACUGGGUGUAAAGGGAGCGUAGACGGCGAUACAAGUCUGAAGUGAAAGCCCGGGGCUCAACCACGGGACUGCUUUGGAAACUGUGUUGCUGGAGUGCUGGAGAGGUAAGCGGAAUUCCGAGUGUAGCGGUGAAAUGCGUAGAUAUUAGGAAGAACACCAGUGGCGAAGGCGGCUUGCUGGACAGUAACUGACGUUGAGGCUCGAAAGCGUGGGGAGCAAACAGGAUUAGAUACCCCUGUAGUC
rnacentral:rRNA from 1 species